GUGCACACCUGGCUCAUCCACUCUUCAACCUCUGUGCACUUGUUGUAGGUCGGAAGAAGGGCGAGUCUAACAGCUCGCUUGGAAGCCUUCCUAUGUUUUACUACAAACGCUUCAGUUUAAGAAUGUAACCUUGCGUAUAACGCAUCUUUAUACAACUUUCAGCAACGGAUCUCUUGGCUCUCGCAUCGAUGAAGAACGCAGCGAAAUGCGAUAAGUAAUGUGAAUUGCAGAAUUCAGUGAAUCAUCGAAUCUUUGAACGCACCUUGCGCUCCCUGGUAUUCCGGGGAGCAUGCCUGUUUGAGUGUCAUGGUAUUCUCAUCCUUCAUAACUUUUGUUAUCGAAGGCAUGGACUUGGAGGUCGUGCUGGUUCCUCGUUGAAUCGGCUCCUCUUAAAUGUAUUAGCGUGAGUGUAACGGAUCGCUUCGGUGUGAUAAUUAUCUGCGCCGUGGUCGUGAAGUAACAUAAGCUUGCGCUUCUAACCGUCCUUAAGUUGGACAAAUUACUUUGACAUCUGACCUCAAAUCAGGUAGGACUACCCGCUGAACUUAAGCAUAUCAAUAAGCGGAGGAAAAGAAACUAACAAGGAUUCCCCUAGUAACUGCGAGUGAACCGGGAAAAGCUCAAAUUUAAAAUCUGGCAGCCUUGGCUGUCCGAGUUGUAAUCUGGAGAAGCGUCUUCCGCGCUGGACCGUGUACAAGUCUCCUGGAACGGAGCGUCAUAGAGGGUGAGAAUCCCGUCUUUGACACGGACUACCAGUGCUCUGUGAUGCGCUCUCAAAGAGUCGAGUUGUUUGGGAAUGCAGCUCAAAA
rnacentral:rRNA from 1 species